GGGGGCGACCUGGUUUCGACGUGGGUCGCGAAGCAGCGCAGGGCAUGCCGAGGACCAGAUCACCUCGUAAAUCCAGUCUGGAACACUACAAACGCCAACGACGAGCGUUUCGCUCUCGCGGCCUAAUACCCGCGAGACGCUGCACUAGUCUGCUGAUGGGCUAGGCUCCCGAAAGGGAGUGCAGCGUCAUUCACAUCAGCCUCUCCCGCCGGUCUGGCCGCUUGGCCGGCGGGAUCCGUCGAAGCGGCUGGCCGAGCGGGAGCCUGUCCGUGGGCGCCCGCGAAGCGAGAUCCAAACCACGAGACUAAGCAUGUAGUCCUGACUGCGGAGGACUUACGGACGCGGGUUCGAUUCCCGCCGCCUCCACCA
rnacentral:tmRNA from 1 species